rnacentral:lncRNA from 1 species
UUAUAGACAAAUGGGGGCACUCGUAGGAUAUCAAAUAUUCAAGGGACUCAAUUUCAUCUUCCAACCACACUCAAAAAAGAUAAUAGAAAAUCUGAACAGAAGAAAGUAAAAGAAAAAGAAAACAAGAAACAUAGUGCAGGCUUGCAGGAGGUGACUAAAUUUAUUAGAAAGUUAUGAUGAGAUGCUUUCCUCUGGAGCUGCAAAUCCCCUGCUAAAUAUGCAUUUGCAACUUGUUAGAAAAAGUUGUAAAAAGCAAUUAUUACAAUGAACAAUUUAAAUGAAGUUGAACCAUAAGCAAACUAUAGAAUCACACUGACUUGUCCAGUUGCUGGGAACUGAGGCUUCAAAACAAUAACAGUAGAUUGGGAAAAAAAAAAAAAACGAGCAGUCUUUCAGUGCUUCCACCGAGCUGUCAUCCCCAUGUUCUCUCUUCAAAUUCCUUAGCUUUUUCAGACUCGCCCAAGGAGGUCCUUGCACAACCAAUCGUAGCCCUUCCCCACAAAGCAUACAUACAUAUAAAUUUCACUGGUUCCAUGGACCCUUAGAUACCCCACCCUGCCAUUUUUUUUGUUUUUUUUCUCACUCAAAUGAAUCAAUGGCUGGCCCAUUAGUCACUCUCAUCCGAUCUGAAAGUAGAUACGCGAUGUUAGUAUUAAGACAACAAUGGAUACAAGGAUAACACACUGCAUCGGACACAGGUAUGGGUAUACCUGUCAUCAGAGGCAGAGAAAUACUAAUUCCAGGCAAAGCCAUUGCUUUUUACUAUAAAUGGGAAAAGUAUCCUUAACAUGGUUGAUGAGAAAAUUUAGAGAAUUUUUGUCUUUAGCGGAAAAAGGCGGGUUUGUGGUU